GGAACACUCAUACGGUGCUAUAGGAAGUAGUUGUGUUUAGCAUAAUUUGGCAAUGUCUAGUAAAGUUGAAGAUGUGAAUAAUCUUUGACCCAGCAAUUCCAUGUUUAAACCUCUACAUAGUCUCUCCUCGUGUUUCAAGGAGAUACAUAUGAUGGUCCAUUGCAGAACUGUGAGAAUGAGAAGUUGAAAGCAAUCUAACCAUUAGGUUAAAUACAAGAUAGAAUGCAAACUAAAAUGAAUAACUAGAGAUAUUUCUGUCAACAUGGGUAAACCUCAAAAAUAGUAUUAAUGAAAUUGAACUACAGACUAUUUUAUAUAAUACAGUAUAACGUACAAUUUCAAAACAUGCAAAUUAGUGUUAUGUAUUUUUGUCAUGGCUAAAUACUAUAUAAAAAGGAUCUAAAAGAAUUAAUAAAAUAAUCAUCAGAUUCAGAACAGUGGUGACCUGCAGGGAGAAAGACAACUGAGAUUGGGGAAAGGAUGCAAAUGAAAAUACCUUUAAUUAUUCAUUUCUUUUAAAAAUAAGCAAAUACUGUAUAGCCAAUUCUUAAAAUUUGAUAAAGCUGGCUGUGAGUAUAUGAGUCAGUUCUUACUCUCUGUAUCUUUCUGUAUAAACUAUUUCAUAAUGCAAAAAAAUAAAGAAUAUUUAAAUGA
rnacentral:lncRNA from 10 species